rnacentral:sRNA from 1 species
UAAGGCUGCCUGUUUAAGACGAUUUGUCCUACGUUAAACGACGGCCCGGGGCUUUCCCGGGCCGUUCUUUGUUUCUACA